AUAAUUGUGUUUGUAAUAGCUGUAAACUGUUCUAAAUGUUUAUCAAAAAAGUUUGUUGUAGUGGCACAAUCGUAUUGUACCAGGCGGGGAGUGUUCUGCCUUUUAUAACUUAAAAUGGAUAUUAUAGUUGUAAACUGCCCUAGAGCUCCCUCUAGUGGCUGCUUUGUAAUAUGCGUUUGGUUACUUUGGGAAGGGAAAAAAUGAGAACGUGAAGAAGAAAUCAAAGAUGGCGGAAAGUGAUGCCGUAAUGUUAUUGUUCUAAGCUGAUACGGACUUUAAAAUGUUGUUGCCUUGGACAAGAUAUGUCUUUUUACGAUGGUCAAAGAGAAGGCAAUGGUCAGAGGCCAUUCUUCAAUAAAUCAGCGCAAAAAGGAAAAUAAGUCUGGUUAUUGGAGCAUCGUUAUCUCGCUGUCUAGCUGGUGAAACUAAGAGACUCAGGGCGAGGACAGCACAUAAUGUAUGUCUGGCCGUACAUUGUGUUUGUAUUUCCACAUUUCACGAAGCAGAACGCAGUCUUCAGAGAUCUCUACGUGAACACUGUGAUACGUCUGACCUUCAGUCCGAAGCAGAAACCCAGACCAGUCUUAAAAGAAAGCACAAGUAAAAAUUUUUUAUUCACAAACAUAUCUUUGAUUGUUAAGAAUUUAUGAUCUUGUCUUUUAUAAAUAUCUGUGAUGCUUGCAUACUGCAAUAUCACCACAUAAUAUAGUCCAAAAGGUGGAAGUUUGUAAACUUUUUAAAAAUGCAAAGCCGUGUACACUUGUGCACUUCAAAAAUUCCUUGUAUACUGUACCUUCUUGCACGUCUCUGUUUCCUGUGUGUGUUGUUAGAAAUCAAACUGUAACUUUAGGAAAAAUAUGCCAAAAGCACAUUUACAAUUACUUAUGACCGUUUUUAACUUCUUUUCUUCAGACCAAAUCCCCUAUACACAUAUACUGACUCAGAGGAUGAGCAGCCUACAAAAAACAGUUUCCCCAGGCCCCUCGAGUGAAAAUACCAGGUAAUAAAAUAAUGUCUAGUGUCUGUGUACAUAUCUGUGUCUGACACAAGGAAACUUUUUUGACAAGUUGUCUGUAUUCUUAAAUACUUAAAAAAUGAUCUUUUUCUAAACAGCCCUCACCACUCCGCAGUCUGCCCCCCAGCCCACUGAUAGCAACCAUCAUAAUGCCCCACCCAGCUUGCGGCACCUUUCGCCACUCCGAAACAACACACAAACCAACAGAGAUGGGCAGUAACGCGUUACUUGUAAUGCGUUACUGUAAUCCAUUACUGUAAUCCGAUUACUUUUUUCAAGUAAUGAGUAAAGUAAGGGAUUACUAUUGCAAAAACAGUAAUUAGAUUACCGUUACUUUCCCGUAGGAACGCUGCGUUACUGCGUUACUAAAACCGUGUGUUUUUUGCGAGAAUGUCUCAUGACAAUGACGUAAGUGUGUGUGACGUUCGUGACAACAGCUGUGUGCAGAUCAACAAUGGAUAAUAUAUCUAGUGCGGGAGAGAGUAUGAGCAUGCAGCGUUUAAAGCGUGGAAGUACUGACCUUACUUUAAGUUUGAUUCCAUAAAAAGUGACAAAAACAUUAGCGUCCGUUGUGCGUGGGAAGAAAACUUCUUUUUACAGCGAAAAAAACCCCCUAAACUUCCAAGCAAGCAAGUGCGCUACGAUGUAAUGGGAAAUUCACAGAGAAACUCACGGAGUCUUCAACUGACCGCUGCGGCACACCUGCACCAGGGUAAACCUCCGCCUACCCCACUCCUGCUUUACAGGUGAAAAUAGAGCAACUAGUCUUUGACUUUAUUUAUUUUCUGCUGUGUUUUACUUGCAUCUAUUUGAAAGAGUGAGUGUAAACACACACAAAAGUUUUUAUUUUAUGCGCUGGAUUGUGCAGAAAAUAGGUUUAAAUGUUAAACAAAUUUCUUCCAGUCAGAGAAUGUUGCAUAUAAUUUAAUUUUUGCUUGAUGCAUAAAGUUAAAAGAUUAAAACUAAUAAAACAAGUUUAAAAAGAGACUUUUUCAUUUGAUUACAUUUUGUAUGAUGGAUUAUGCAGAAAAAGUAGAAUUGGGCUGAAAGAUCUAUCGCUUUAUCACCUAUUCAGGUUGUAAAUCGUGUUUUUAAAAAGUAACUAAGUAAUUAAUUACUUUUGAAAAUAGGUAAUCAGUAAAGUAACAGGAUUACUUUUUUGGGGAAGUAAUCAGUAAUUAGUUACUGAUUACUUUUUUCAAGUAACUUGACCAACACUGCAAACCAACACAGCUUUGCGAUCUCCCCAGCAUGCAGAGUGUGAUGUCGAUGUCUUCCCUAUAGAUGGUAUGCUUUUAAAAUAGUUUUAAAGCUGCAUCACAAUGUCAUUGUACUCUUAUCUUCAAAACACCAAUUUAUACUCCUGAAUGUCAUCUUUUUGUGAUUUUUUUUUUUCUGUAGAUUCCAGAGACUCUGUGAGGCCACUAUUACAAGGUGAGACGCUUUGCGUUGAUUGGUGCUGCUGGACCACACUGGAGGUGCGAGUCCGCCGUGUAAUGGUUUAUGCCAUUACAAAGGAGCUGGCCUCUGUACUCAACUGGGCAGGGAAAAAACCAAGGACCAGACAAAGCAAAAAAGGGCAUUUAAAGAGACAGCGCUGUGCAGAUGCAUAUUUGAUGGCCUGGCGCAGCAGGUAGGGGCGAACUCUAUGUCUGAGUUGGUCUUUGCUCAAGCAGUCCAGAAAUGGCUCAGAUAUGCUCCAGAUCGUACGGGUGGCACGCAGGACGCACAUCAUCCAUCCCCAUCCCGGAGUAAAUAAUAAAAAGUGACGUGAA